ensembl:lncRNA
CUAACAACCAAAACAAAAGGGAAGCGGGGAUGAUCAUCUAAAAGAUUGUUUUUAGGAAUAUCUAAUAGUGAGCGCCAACUGACGGUGUUAAUCCUUCACAUCUCUCAAGACAACUGGAGCACUGGGUCAGCACAGGUGAAACACAUGCUGACUAAAGAGAUGGACAAGCCAGCACAGGUGAAACACAUGCUGACUAAAGAGAUGGACAAGCCAGCACAGGUGAAACACCUUCUGACUAAAGAGAUGGACAAGCCAGCACAGGUGAAACACCUUCCGACUAAAGAGAUGGACAAGCCAGCACAGGUGAAACACCUACUGACUAAAGAGAUGGACAAGCCAGCACUGGUGAAACACAUGCUGACUAAAGAGAUGGACAAGCCAGCACAGGUGAAACACCUACUGACUAAAGAGAUGGACAAGCCAGCACUGGUGAAACACAUGCUGACUAAAGAGAUGGACAAGCCAGCACAGGUGAAACACCUUCCGACUAAAGAGAUUGACAAGCCAGCACAGGUGAAACACCUUCCGACUAAAGAGAAGGACAAGCCAGCACAGGUGAAACACCUUCCGACUAAAGAGAUGGACAAGCCAGCACAGGUGAAACACAUGCUGACUAAAGAGAUGGACA